AUGAAUGACAAUGAUGUUGGAGAUCAGCUGUACAUGUUGGCCAAGAAACCAUCUUCGACUAUAAUGAUUUUCCAAGGGUACGAGAUAAAUGGGAAUACAUUUUACACCAUCGCCCAAGAUAAAAAGAGCACCAACCAAAACAGUGGUGUCCGCUUUGAUGCAGCAACCGAGAAUGGGCGAAAGGUCACAUAUUAUGGUUACAUAGAGGAGAUAUGGGAACUUGACUAUGGACCCUCCUUUAAGGUCCCUUUGUUCCGGUGCAAAUGGUUCAAGCUAACAGGAGGUGGGGUAAAGGUGGACGAGCAAUACGGAAUGACAAUGGUGGAUUUCAACAAUCUUGGUUACCUUGACAAACCAUUCGUCCUUGCGAAAGAUGUCGCUCAGGUUUUUUAUUUGAAGGACAUGAGUAGCAAACCGAGGAAACGGAAAGAUAAGAAAACGAUCAGUACAUCAUGCGAUGAUCCAAAGCGCCACAUUGUUCUUUCAGGGAAAAGAAACAUCGUGGGAGUGGAGGACAAGACAGACAUGUCAGAAGAUUAUAAUAUGUUUGGUGAAAUUCCGCCCUUCAAAGUGAACACUGACCCAAGCAUUAAGUUAAAUGAUGAGGAUGCUCCAUGGAUACGGCACAAUCGUAAGCAAGCAGGGACACAAGGGAAGAAUUGA
rnacentral:rRNA from 1 species